rnacentral:misc_RNA from 1 species
AGGACUCUCAGUGAUUAUGACAACUUCCAGAUAUAUGUACCGGAACCGGAAAUGUCAGAUCCGGAUUAAUUAAACUCUAUGAGAUUAAUUGUGAUAAUGAGAUGCAUGAGAAUAAUCAAAAUUUUUAAAAUUAACAUUUUAUUUAAUUUUGUAGAAUGUAACAUUUUAUCAAUGUAGUAUAUUAUAUUUUAGGAUUUUUAUACUCCGUAUAUUACUAAUAAUUUUUACUUUAUUUCACAUGUUUUUCAAGGAGGACUUAAUUAGCUUUGAUACGAUAAAAAAAUAUACAUUUUCAUCAGCAAACAUUCAUUUUCCCCAUUUAAGCUGAUAGAGUCUAUUAAAUAGGCAGAAAUGCAACAGAAAGAUAAUCAGAGAGAAAAGGAAUGUUUUUUGUCAUGGUCAGACGUAUUCCACCAUGAAUUCUUUUCAUUUUAUUCUUUAACUACAUGUAUUAUCAUGCACAUAAAAUGUUAGGCAGUUUUCAUAAUUGUGUUCUAUAUAACUGUUCCAUAAUAUUAAAAAAAAAGCUCCACAUUGAAUGAAAAAAUAAUGAUGCAAUAACGAUGCAAUAAAAUAUAUUU